AGCCCGCGCGCACCUUGGAGACGGUUUGCACAAACCGUCCCUGAAAUCUAUUUCUGUUAUUCCGAGGGAAUUGCGGAAAUUUCGCUUUCUAAUCUCAACGCUGGGCAUCAGUAUAUGGGCGCGUAAUAAGGAGUGGGUUAAUGAUUUGAGUUCUGAUAUUUGCUGGUGGUAGAAAUGAACAGAUGGUGUUUGAAAACAUUAUAUGAAACAGUUUGCUCACGAACAGAAAACAACUCACCCAGACUCCAAACCAGUGACCUCUGCCACCUAGAAGGGUAAAAGCAGAAGAUGUUCUGAAGAUGCUGCCAGACCUGCUACAUAUUUCCAGAUUGGAUGUAUGUUUUUGAACAUCCAAUGAUGUUUUUCAUGUUGAAUUUCAAGAUCCAUGAAUGAUGCACACUUCUGCAAGUUCAUAAUUGUCAAAGAGAACAAACUGACCAAGAAAGUAGUGGAUCUGUUACUGAACUAAGAAAAUUGAAGUCCCAUCAUGGCAUCUAGAGAAUUUGAGUCAAUGUUAAACAUUUUGAAAUGUUAAAAACUGGUAUCAGUAAAAUUGACUUUGAAGGUUUAGGAUUGUCAUAAAAAUCCAAAUGAUUCAGUAAUGACCUUUAGAGAAUUAACUAUGUCUGCUGGUCUUUAUGUGAUUCUAGUUUCUCACACCCAAUAUGGUUGAUUCUUAACAGGAUCUGAAGUAGUCCAGUAAGCCACUCAUUUGCAAUAAAAUGCCAACAUCUCACAAAUAAAUAGAGGCAAAAUAUUUUUAAAA